rnacentral:rRNA from 1 species
UACGUGGGGGGCCAGCGUUGUUCGGAAUUAUUGGGCGUAAAGGGCGCGUAGGCGGCGCCACAAGUCACUUGUGGAAACUCUGGGCUCAACUCAGAGCCUGCAAGCGAAACUGUGGUGCUGGAGUAUGGGAGAGGUGCGUGGAAUUCCCGGUGUAGCGGUGAAAUGCGUAGAUAUCGGGAGGAACAGCUGUGGCGAAAGCGGCGCACUGGAUCAUAACUGACGCUGAGGCGCGAAAGCUAGGGGAGCAAACAGG